UACGGAGGGGGCUAGCGUUGUUCGGAAUUACUGGGCGUAAAGCGCACGUAGGCGGCUUUGUAAGUUAGAGGUGAAAUCCCGGGGCUCAACCCCGGAACUGCCUUUAAUACUGGGUAUCUCGAGUUCGAGAGAGGUGAGUGGAAUUCCGAGUGUAGAGGUGAAAUUCGUAGAUAUUCGGAGGAACACCAGUGGCGAAGGCGGCUCACUGGCUCGAUACUGACGCUGAGGUGCGAAAGCGUGGGGAGCAAACAGG
rnacentral:rRNA from 1 species